GCGCUUGUAGCUCAGUAGGAUAGAGCGGUGGUUUCCUAAACCAUGUCCGUCGUGGGUUCGACUCCCACCUUGCGCA
rnacentral:tRNA from 2 species